AGGACGGGGAAAAAUCUUCGGACACACUAGAAAAAUCUUACAGCUGGGAGCCUGCGCACUUGCUCAUGCGCCUGCAUAGGUGUAGGCUCGCGCCCAAGUGCCAUUUGUGUGUAGGUGUGCAUGCAAGUGCCCUGCGCACAGGCACUGUGUGUGCAUGUGUACACAUCAGCACCUGCGCGCACAGUACGUCCAAGCCUUGUGCACCGGCAGGCAUGACUCACCCUACCACGUGGGUACCACUGUGGCAGCCUCCCCCUCCCUACCACGUGGACAGCCAUGAUACCUGCUAUAUGGCACGCAUCUAAUAGCUCUUAAACUCUAUAAAUUUAGCCCCUCCCCCUCAUUUUUCCACUCAUUUCCAUCUUUCAUUCUUCUUAUAAAGUCUUUUAGAGAGAGAAAGUUGAGUUCUAGAAAGAGAAAGCAAGAAAGAAGAUUGUUGGGGACACCAAAGGAAUUCUAGAUG
rnacentral:lncRNA from 1 species